AGUGAACGCUGGCGGUAGGCCUAACACAUGCAAGUCGAACGGCAGCACAGUAGGAGCUUGCUCUUACGGGUGGCGAGUGGCGGACGGGUGAGGAAUACAUCGGAAUCUACUUUUUCGUGGGGGAUAACGUAGGGAAACUUACGAUAAUACCGCAUACGACCUACUGGUGAAAGCAGGGGAACUUCGGACAUUGCGCGCAUGAAUGAGCCGAUGUCGGAUUAGCUAGUUGGCGGGGUAAAGGCCCACCAAGGCGCCGAACCGUAGCUGGUCUGAGAGGAUGAUCAGCACCACUGGAAUGGGGACACGGUCCGGACUCCUACGGGAGGCAGCAGUGGGGAAUAUUGGAAAAUGGGCGCAAGCCUGCUCCAGCCAGACCGCGUGGGUGAAGAAGGCCUUCGGGUUUUAAAGCCCUUUUGUUGGGAAAGAAAAGCAGCAGGUUAAUACCCCGCUGUUCUGACGGUACCCAAAGAAUAAGCACCGGCUAACUUCGUG
rnacentral:rRNA from 1 species